GAUGAACGCUGGCGGCGUGCUUAAUACAUGCAAGUCGAGCGAACAGACGAGGAGUUUGCUCCUCUGACGUUAGCGGCGGACGGGUGAGUAACAUGUGGAUAACCUACCUAUCAGACUGGGAUAACCUCGGGAAACCGGCGCUAAUACCGGAUAAUCUAUUCAACCGCAUGGUUCUGUAGUGAAAGACGGUUUUGCUGUCACUUAUAGACGGAUUCGCGCCGCAUUGGCUAGUUGGUAGGGUAACGGCUUACCAAGGCAAGGAUGGGUAGCCGACCUGGACGGGUGGUAGGCCACACGGGAACGGGAACGCGCACCAUGCGCCUACGGGAGGCAGCAGAAGGGAAUCUGCCGCAAUAGGGGAAAGCCUGACGGAGCGAGGGCGCGUCAGUGAUGAAGACCUUGGGAGCGGAAAACUCGGUUAUUAGUGAUAAACAAAUGUGUAAGGAGCUAUACACGUCUUGACGGUACCUGAACAGAAAGCCACGGCUAACUACGUG
rnacentral:rRNA from 1 species